GAAGAUUUUCUAAUGGCUGGUGUUGAGGCACUGAUGACCAAGAUUUGGAUCCUUUUGAAGAAAGGCUGGGAUCCUAAAGGGAAUUUCCAUCCUACUUGUGUGGCUGAAUGACAUCUUCAACCAAUUUUGGUACAUUUGCCAGAAAGCACAACAUCGUGAUAUGUUUAAUGACAUGUGGGUGGGUGUGCUUCACCAUGUCACAGGGAAGCAUGAAUGGACCCGUGGCAAAUGUGACCAUGGACCACUUGAUGCAACGACCAGUGAUAAAGAGCUCAUGGUACCAUGAUCUCCACCACACGAGGCUCUUCAACGAAUCAUGUUCAACAGACGCUGGUUGAAGGAUGUCACCAAUCUGACCUUUAGGUAUAUUAAUAACAUUUUCAUAAGCAAAAAAGCUAAAGUGUCAAUAUCAAAGCUGAAAAUUUACAUAUAGAAAUGACAAUUGUGGGUGAAAAGGCAAUCAA